UAUACCUGUGAAGAAGAGAAGAUAAAAGACCAUGACUCAGAAGGGGGAAAAUUGCUUCUUAAUUGAGCUUAAAUGUAAGAAAAGAGAGAAAAAUAAUCCCAUAGCUUUCUCUUAGUGAGAUAUCUUUCAUUCAUUUGAAGUAUAUACAUUUGUAUGUGGGUAACUUCAUCAGUGUUUUUAAGUCUUCCAGAUCUUUAUUAAUGUGCAACUGGGACUGAGAAUCGCUGAGUAAACUUGAAAGAUCAUCUGGCAAUGUUGAGAAUUGGCUUAAUUUGAAUGAAACAGAGAACUACAGGUUCCUAUGGAAAAAAGACGUGUUCUACCUAUAUGAGAUACCAGAAAUCUUAGUGGCCACAUAACAAGGGGUUGAGGAGAACAGAACAAAGACGGAAGGGAAGUGAUGUAAUCGGUCAAGCAAUUUAUUCACAAAUGUCAUUGAAUGCACUUAGACUCAACCACAAUUCUCUCUGUUGAUAAAAUUUUA
rnacentral:lncRNA from 10 species